AAAUAUUUCUUAACAAUAUUCUUAAUUAAACACCUAAAAUUCUCAAGUAAAUUGUUAAGAUAAAUGGAACUAUACUCUAGUAUUUUGUAUUCAUCAAAAUUCAUUAGGGGGUCAACAAUCUCCCCCUUUUUGAUGAUGACAAAACACUGAGUAUAUGCAAAAUUCGAAAUUUAAACAUAUACACAGUAUUUGAUCAGAUGUACAAGUCUAAUGUUUUGAUUAGCGCUAGAUACAAUGUGCAUAAUUCAAAAUAGUCAAUUUUUAGUUCUAUCCUUAUGCAUAAAAUUGAUCUUAAUAGCUCUUAGGCAAUUUUAGCAUAUCUACUGAAUUUCAAUCAAGUUAAAAUGUAGAUGGAUGCUAAAGACAAUUGAGAGCUAAGUUCCUUUUUGACUCCCCCUUUCUUUUCCAGAAAGGCAAUUAUCUUAAAGCCAAUAUUCUUCAAUUUUAACUCUUUUUAUUCAACUUUCGAGUAUGAUUGUAAAUUUUGUAUUUUGCAUUUCAUAUAUUGGUUCUACAAAUGUAN
rnacentral:lncRNA from 1 species